UUAAGCGACUAAGCGUACACGGUGGAUGCCCUGGCAGUCAGAGGCGAUGAAGGACGUGCUAAUCUGCGAAAAGCGUCGGUAAGGUGAUAUGAACCGUUAUAACCGGCGAUGUCCGAAUGGGGAAACCCAGUGNNNNNNNNNNNNNNNNCACUAUCGUUAACUGAAUACAUAGGUUAACGAGGCGAACCGGGGGAACUGAAACAUCUAAGUACCCCGAGGAAAAGAAAUCAACCGAGAUUCCCCCAGUAGCGGCGAGCGAACGGGGAGCAGCCCAGAGUCUGAAUCAGCUUGUGUGUUAGUGGAACGGUCUGGAAAGUCCGACGGUACAGGGUGAUAGUCCCGUACACCAAAAUGCACAGGUUGUGAACUCGAAGAGUAGGGCGGGACACGUGGUAUCCUGUCUGAAUAUGGGGGGACCAUCCUCCAAGGCUAAAUACUCCUGACUGACCGAUAGUGAACCAGUACCGUGAGGGAAAGGCGAAAAGAACCCCGGCGAGGGGAGUGAAAAAGAACCUGAAACCGUGUACGUACAAGCAGUGGGAGCACCUUCGGGUGUGACUGCGUACCUUUUGUAUAAUGGGUCAGCGACUUAUAUUCUGUAGCAAGGUUAACCGUAUAGGGGAGCCGCAGGGAAACCGAGUCUUAACUGGGCGUUAAGUUGCAGGGUAUAGACCCGAAACCCGGUGAUCUAGCCAUGGGCAGGUUGAAGGUUGGGUAACACUAACUGGAGGACCGAACCGACUAAUGUUGAAAAAUUAGCGGAUGACUUGUGGCUGGGGGUGAAAGGCCAAUCAAACCGGGAGAUAGCUGGUUCUCCCCGAAAGCUAUUUAGGUAGCGCCUCGUGAAUUCAUCUUCGGGGGUAGAGCACUGUUUCGGCUAGGGGGUCAUCCCGACUUACCAACCCGAUGCAAACUACGAAUACCGAAGAAUGUUAUCACGGGAGACACACGGCGGGUGCUAACGUCCGUCGUGAAGAGGGAAACAACCCAGACCGCCAGCUAAGGUCCCAAAGUCAUGGUUAAGUGGGAAACGAUGUGGGAAGGCACAGACAGCCAGGAUGUUGGCUUAGAAGCAGCCAUCAUUUAAAGAAAGCGUAAUAGCUCACUGGUCGAGUCGGCCUGCGCGGAAGAUGUAACGGGGCUAAACCAUGCACCGAAGCUGCGGCAGCGACACUAUGUGUUGUUGGGUAGGGGAGCGUUCUGUAAGCCUGCGAAGGUGACCUGUGAGGGUUGCUGGAGGUAUCAGAAGUGCGAAUGCUGACAUAAGUAACGAUAAAGCGGGUGAAAAGCCCGCUCGCCGGAAGACCAAGGGUUCCUGUCCAACGUUAAUCGGGGCAGGGUGAGUCGACCCCUAAGGCGAGGCCGAAAGGCGUAGUCGAUGGGAAACAGGUUAAUAUUCCUGUACUUGGUGUUACUGCGAAGGGGGGACGGAGAAGGCUAUGUUAGCCGGGCGACGGUUGUCCCGGUUUAAGCAUGUAGGCUGGUUAUCCAGGCAAAUCCGGAUAAUCAAGGCUGAGGUGUGAUGACGAGGCACUACGGUGCUGAAGUAACAAAUGCCCUGCUUCCAGGAAAAGCCUCUAAGCAUCAGGUAACAUCAAAUCGUACCCCAAACCGACACAGGUGGUCAGGUAGAGAAUACCAAGGCGCUUGAGAGAACUCGGGUGAAGGAACUAGGCAAAAUGGUGCCGUAACUUCGGGAGAAGGCACGCUGGUGUGUAGGUGAAGUCCCUGCGGAUGGAGCUGAGACCAGUCGAAGAUACCAGCUGGCUGCAACUGUUUAUUAAAAACACAGCACUGUGCAAACACGAAAGUGGACGUAUACGGUGUGACGCCUGCCCGGUGCCGGAAGGUUAAUUGAUGGGGUUAUCCGUAAGGAGAAGCUCUUGAUCGAAGCCCCGGUAAACGGCGGCCGUAACUAUAACGGUCCUAAGGUAGCGAAAUUCCUUGUCGGGUAAGUUCCGACCUGCACGAAUGGCGUAAUGAUGGCCAGGCUGUCUCCACCCGAGACUCAGUGAAAUUGAACUCGCUGUGAAGAUGCAGUGUACCCGCGGCAAGACGGAAAGACCCCGUGAACCUUUACUAUAGCUUGACACUGAACAUUGAGCCUUGAUGUGUAGGAUAGGUGGGAGGCUUUGAAGCGUGGACGCCAGUCUGCGUGGAGCCAACCUUGAAAUACCACCCUUUAAUGUUUGAUGUUCUAACGUUGGCCCCUGACCGGGGUUGCGGACAGUGUCUGGUGGGUAGUUUGACUGGGGCGGUCUCCUCCCAAAGCGUAACGGAGGAGCACGAAGGUUAGCUAAUCCUGGUCGGACAUCAGGAGGUUAGUGCAAUGGCAUAAGCUAGCUUGACUGCGAGCGUGACGGCGCGAGCAGGUGCGAAAGCAGGUCAUAGUGAUCCGGUGGUUCUGAAUGGAAGGGCCAUCGCUCAACGGAUAAAAGGUACUCCGGGGAUAACAGGCUGAUACCGCCCAAGAGUUCAUAUCGACGGCGGUGUUUGGCACCUCGAUGUCGGCUCAUCACAUCCUGGGGCUGAAGUAGGUCCCAAGGGUAUGGCUGUUCGCCAUUUAAAGUGGUACGCGAGCUGGGUUUAGAACGUCGUGAGACAGUUCGGUCCCUAUCUGCCGUGGGCGCUGGAGAAUUGAGGGGGGCUGCUCCUAGUACGAGAGGACCGGAGUGGACGCAUCACUGGUGUUCGGGUUGUCAUGCCAAUGGCACUGCCCGGUAGCUAAAUGCGGAAGAGAUAAGUGCUGAAAGCAUCUAAGCACGAAACUUGCCCCGAGAUGAGUUCUCCCUGAGACUUUAAGUCUCCUGAAGGAACGUUAAAGACGAUGACGUUGAUAGGCCGGGUGUGUAAGCGCAGCGAUGCGUUGAGCUAACCGGUACUAAUGAACCGUGAGGCUUAACCUU
rnacentral:rRNA from 1 species